rnacentral:misc_RNA from 1 species
GUGAAUCAUGAAAGAGCAGGGAAAUCUAAUGUGUCACGGGAUAUGGAGAGAGGCUCAGAGCGCGAGUGGUCAGGGAACUCUGACAGGAGACAACGGGAUGAAAAUGAACGAGAUCGGGAUAGAUCUGACAGAGAGCGAUACCGGGAGGACAAAGAUGGGUAUAAGGAUCAUAGGCAGAGGGAUCGGGACAGGGACAAUGAUGAUAACUAUGAUAGAGCACAGUCAUCUUCAAGGUCCCGAAGC